rnacentral:rRNA from 1 species
AUUGAACGCUGGCGGCAUGCCUUACACAUGCAAGUCGAACGGUAACAGGUCUUCGGAUGCUGACGAGUGGCGAACGGGUGAGUAAUACAUCGGAACGUGCCUAGUAGUGGGGGAUAACUACUCGAAAGAGUGGCUAAUACCGCAUGAGAUCUACGGAUGAAAGCAGGGGAUCGCAAGACCUUGUGCUACAAGAGCGGCAGAGGGCAGAUGAGGUAGUUGGUUGGAUAAAAGCUUACCAAGCCGACUAUCUGUAGCUGGUCUGAGAGGACGAUCAGCCAGACUGGGACUGAGACACGGCCCAGACUCCCACGGGAGGCAGCAGUGGGGAAUUUUGGACAAUGGGCGCAAGCCUGAUCCAGCAAUGCCGCGUGCAGGAUGAAGGCCUUCGGGUUGUAAACUGCUUUUGUACGGAACGAAAAGCCCCGGGUUAAUACCCUGGGGUCAUGACGGUACCGUAAGAAUAAGCACCGGCUAACUACGUGCCAGCCGCCGCCGUAA